GGAGCAAAUCCCUAAAAGCCAUCCCAGUUCGGAUCGCAGCUGCAACCCGCCUGCGUGAAGUUGGAAUCGCUAGUAAUCGCGGAUCAGCAUGCCGCGGUGAAUACGUUCCCGGGCCUUGUACACACCGCCCGUCACACCAUGAGAGUCGGGGACACCCGAAGUCCGUAGCCUAACCGCAAGGGGGGCGCGGCCGAAGGUGGGUUCGAUAAUUGGGGUGAAGUCGUAACAAGGUAAC
rnacentral:rRNA from 1 species